rnacentral:lncRNA from 1 species
UCUAUAUAAGAUACAUUCCCUCACUCACACACAGAGAUUUUUCCAUCAAGAUUUACUGCACAGAAACCAUUCUCUCUUCUGCUGAAAACUAGGUUUCAAACUUUGAGAAAAACUUUCCUCUUUUAUUUUUUUCUGAAAAGCUGAAAAUUGAUUGAAGUAGACGAAUUUCUAUUUUUCUUCUUGAGUUGAAAUCUCUGGGGUUUUUGGAAGUUAAAUUUGGGUUCUGAUUUGGUGAUUGUCUGCUGCUUGCUGUUGAUCACUAUCGUUUAAGAAGAAUUAGUUUCUUUUCCCUUGACCUUCAUUUGGUCUUUUUUGAAUUAUCUCUAGGUAUAUAAUCAAGUUUUGGCUAUGAAAAUUACUCUAUUUGUGCAAUCUGAAUUUAUUCAUAACUAUGUGUGUAUGGAUGCAUAGGUUAAUAGUAGGAAUUAAAUGUAUUUUUCCAUUAAUUUAUGUAAGCUUUUUAUGUGUUUUUGUGCAUUUCAGUAUGUAGAAAGUAAUGUUAAAAUAGCAUAAGUAACUACAUCUUAUGACAGCAUUUAGGUUAGUUUAUAGUGCUUUCUUUCUCUUCUCCAUCUGAUUUUUUUAUUCAAAAAAAAUAUUGCUUUCAUUUGUCUUUUGAAUGCUUAGUCACAAGCUGUAGCGUAUUGGUUUAACCGCCAGUUGUUCGGAUUGCUUGGCUCUGAAAGCUUAUAAGGAGGGAUCUAAAUGUGUAGGAAAUGAGAUACUAGGAUUCUGAGUUGGACCUAUAAUGAUUUAUAUGUUUAACCUUCAAUAUGGUUAAACUCAUGAACAAUCAUCUUCUUUUAUUGUUAUUGCACUCUUAAGUUUUAACUUAGGUAUGUCAAGGUAGUAUGGUUGAAGUAAUCAUGUGAAUAUGACCUUCUCCCAUGAUCAGAUCCAUGAGAUGCUUAGAAAAUAAUGAUAAUUCAGCAACAAGAAGUGCAUAUUGGGAACCUGAGAAAACAACUUUAUAAGAAGCAUCUCUACAUCUGGAUUCUUGCGGAUUGGUUGCUUUGGAUUCGAAGAAGUGAUGAAAUGGAAUUCUAGAAUCAGUAGAAGUCCUCAUUUUACUGUAUUUUUAUUUCUUUAGAACCUCUUGGAUGUCAGCUGUUAAUAUGCUGAUUCUCGAAGAGUUAAAACAUUAUUAUAUAUUUUUAAGAUUUGCAAAUGUUUAAGUGGACUGUUAUAAUUUUUUUAAGAUAGUAUAAUGAGAUAGCUGUUAGAUUGGUUCAUAUAUGUCUUUGUUUGAGAAAUUCAAACUCUAUUUGGUUUAGGAAUUGGAAACUAAAAUCAAGGUUAAUUCGUGAAUAAACUAAGUUACAACUAUCAUGCUUAGUGUUGCCCACUGAGUUUUGAAUGCAUGGCCGAGUAGAUCAGGG